AACGCGAAGAACCUUACCUGGGCUUGAACAGCUACUGACCAAGGGUAGAAAUAUCCUCUUCCCGCAAGGGACAGUAGUAGAGGUGCUGCAUGGCUGUCGUCAGCUCGUGCCGUGAGGUGUUGGGUUAAGUCCCGCAACGAGCGCAACCCUUACUCCUAGUUGCUACCCGCAAGGGAGAACUCUAGGAGGACUGCUCCGGAUAACGGAGAGGAAGGUGGGGAUGACGUCAAGUCAGCACGGCCUUUAUGUCCAGGGCUACACACGUGUUACAAUGCACGGUACAGACUGUUGCGAACCCGCGAGGGGGAGCUAAUCGGAUAAAACCGUGCUCAGUUCGGAUUGCAGUCUGCAACUCGGCUGCAUGAAGCUGGAAUCGCUAGUAAUGGCGUAUCAGAUCGACGCCGUGAAUACGUUCCCGGGCCUUGUA
rnacentral:rRNA from 1 species